ACUGGGUGUGGUGGUGCUCGCCUGUAAUCCCAGCAACUAAGGAGGCUAAGGCAGGAGGAUCACAAGUUGAAGUCCAGCCUCAGCUAUUUAGCAAGGCCCUAGCAACUUAGUGAGACUCUAUCUUAA
rnacentral:sRNA from 1 species